UGGGGAAUAUUGGACAAUGGACCAAGAGUCUGAUCCAGCAAUUCUGUGUGCACGAUGAAGUUUUUCGGAAUGUAAAGUGCUUUCAGUUGGGAAGAAAGAAAUGACGGUACCAACAGAAGAAGUGACGGCUAAAUACGUGCCAGCAGCCGCGGUAAUACGUAUGUCACGAGCGUUAUCCGGAUUUAUUGGGCGUAAAGCGCGUCUAGGUGGUUAUAUAAGUCUGAUGUGAAAAUGCAGGGCUCAACUCUGUAUUGCGUUGGAAACUGUAUAACUAGAGUACUGGAGAGGUAAGCGGAACUACAAGUGUAGAGGUGAAAUUCGUAGAUAUUUGUAGGAAUGCCGAUGGGGAAGCCAGCUUACUGGACAGAUACUGACGCUGAAGCGCGAAAGCGUGGGUAGCAAACAGGAUUAGAUACCCUGGUAGUCCACGCCGUAACGAUGAUUACUAGGUGUUGGGGGUCGAACCUCAGCGCCCAAGCAAACGCGAUAAGUAAUCCGCCUGGGGAGUACGUACGCAAGUAU
rnacentral:rRNA from 1 species